CUACGGGAGGCUGCAGUGGGGAAUCUUGCACAAUGGAGGAAACUCUGAUGCAGCGAUGCCGCGUGAGUGAAGAAGGCCCUUGGGUUGUAAAGCUCUUUUGUCGGGAAAGAUAAUGACUGUACCCGAAGAAUAAGGUCCGGCUAACUUCGUGCCAGCAGCCGCGGUAAUACGAAGGGACCUAGCGUAAUUCGGAAUUACUGGGCGUAAAGCGCGCGUAGGCGGUUAAGUAAGUUAAUUGUGAAAGCCCAAAGCUCAACUUUGGAAUUGCAAUUAAAACUACUUAGCUAGAGUUUAUCAGAGGAAAGCGGAAUACAUAGUGUAGAGGUGAAAUUCGUAGAUAUUAUGUAGAACACCAGUUGCGAAGGCGGCUUUCUGGGAUAACACUGACGCUGAGGUGCGAAAGUAUGGGUAGCGAAGAGGAUUAGAUACCCUGGUAGUC
rnacentral:rRNA from 1 species